rnacentral:rRNA from 1 species
GGGUCCGGACACACUGAGGAUUGACAGAUAUACGCUCAUUGCUGCGUGCUUCGGCGCGUGCUUUGAGCUGAAAGAUGCUAGUUCUUUCAUGAUUAUGUGAUAGGUGGUGCAUGGCCGUUCUUAGUUCGUGGAGUGAUCUGUCUGCUUAAUUGCGUAUCAAUAAUAGAGACCUAGUAUACGCGUGGAUUUCGCGUGGUAGUGACCCCCUGUUUAACGACAGGCGUGUGUCGCACACGCGUACCUACGCACUGGUCUCAGAUAGCAACGAACGUGACCGUAUUCUAUUGUUGCAGUGAAAUGUGCCUUCUGGGUACGACCCACUGCUUAGUAUAUGUACGUGCUUCGGCGCGAACAAUAUACAUUAAACUAUAGAGACCGCUGUUUCUUCUUUAAACCAGAGGAAGGAUGCGGCAAUAACAGGUCUGUGAUGCCCUCAGAUGUUCCGGGCUGCACACGUGCUACAAUGAUCAUUGCACUGUGCAUCUAACCCAAUGUGCGUGGACGCCGCAUGCAUGUGCCUUCGGGUACACGCAUUGCUGUUGCGACCACGCCGAACCUACUUCGAAAGUAAAAUUUCUCAGUGGGU